CAAAGGGAUUACCGGUGGCGGAUGGGCAUGCGGCGCAUUAGCUAGUCGGCGGGGUAACGGCCCACCGAGGCGACGAUGCGUAGGGGUUCUGAGAGGAAGGUCCCCCACACUGGUACUGAGACACGGACCAGACUCCUACGGGAGGCAGCAGUGAGGAAUAUUGGUCAAUGGGCGCGAGCCUGAACCAGCCAAGUCGCGUGAGGGAUGACGGUCCUACGGAUUGUAAACCUCUUUUGCCGGGGAGCAAGCGUGCGUUCGUGAACGCGCGUCGAGAGUACCCGGAGAAAAAGCAUCGGCUAACUCCGUGCCAGCAGCCGCGGUAAUACGGAGGAUGCGAGCGUUAUCCGGAUUUAUUGGGUUUAAAGGGUGCGUAGGCGGGAUGCCAAGUCAGCGGUAAAAAUGCGGUGCUCAACGCCGUCGAGCCGUUGAAACUGGCGCUCUUGAGUGGGCGAGAAGUAUGCGGAAUGCGUGGUGUAGCGGUGAAAUGCAUAGAUAUCACGCAGAACUCCGAUUGCGAAGGCAGCAUACCGGCGCCCUACUGACGCUGAGGCACGAAAGCGUGGGUAUCGAACAGGAUUAGAUACCCUGGUAGUCCACGCAGUAAACGAUGAAUGCUAACUGUCCGGCUCGAAUGAGCGCUGG
rnacentral:rRNA from 1 species